UCGAAUGGUAAGAGAGUCUAGCAGGUAAGUACAGAAGAUGCCAAGGCGAAACAAGUGGCUGUGCCACUCCUCUGCCACUAGAUUGUUGGCCCGGCCGGAGCUCCGGCAAAAGGAAUGGCCUUGCUGCACCCCGCCCCUGCUACUCCCCUCCCCACCGGCCAUCACCGCCAGAACGCCGGCGUGCUCCUCCAGCGGCCAUCCCGCCGCCGUUUCCGGCUGAACGCGCAGAAAAAGCCCGGGUCCACGUCCACGAGCGAGCCCGCGCACCGGCACGCCCUCCGGCUCGGAGUCGGACAACGUGGUGCUCAAGGCCGCCUGGUACGGCUCCGAGGCCCUCGGCAUCGCCGCGUCCUUCUUCCGGCCGCCGUCUCCGGAGGCGGACGCCGGCGCUGCAGGCGACGGCGCGUCAGAGUCCCAGCCGGUUGGCCGCGCGCAGGUCGCCGAGGCCAUCAAGGACGACUUCGCACGGUCAUACUUCGUCACAGGGAACCUGACGCUGGGAGCGUACGAAGACGACUGCGAGUUCGCCGACCCGGCGGGCUCAUUCAGAGGCCUGCAGCGCUUCAAGAGGAACUGCACCAACUUCGGGUCCCUGCUGGAGAAGUCCAACAUGAAGCUAACCAAAUGGGAGGAUGUCGAGGAGAAAUCGAUCGGGCACUGGCGUUUCAGCUGCGUCAUGUCGUUCCCGUGGAGGCCCAUUCUCUCCGCAACCGGGUACACGGAGUACUACUUCGAUGGUGAGUCGGGGAAGGUGUGCAGGCAUGUGGAGAACUGGAACGUCCCCAAGAUGGCGCUCCUGCGGCAGAUAUUCAGGCCCAGCAGAUGGGCAUGGGAGAAGGAGAAACGUGGCAGCAUUAUGAAAGAAGGAAGUGUUCCGGUCACCAUGCAUCAGCCAAUUAGCACGCCCUCUUUGAAGCCAAUGGAUCUCCUCCUGUUCCAAUAAGUUGUCAAUAAGCAGUUGUAAUUCCUUUUGUCUCGCCCAAGAAGCCGGCGAUAAGGCACCAUAUCUUAUUUUUUCUAGUUCUUUACUCAACUUCUUGAUACGAUUUUUCGGACCCUUCAGAACAGAUUUAUCCCAACUAUGGAGAUCACUGUGUACCGCUUUGGUUCUUGAAGCCAUGCUUGGACCCAAGCCUCUCAGGUUUGCCUUCGCCCAGGCAGUAGCAACCACUUCGUUUACAGUAUCUUCAGAUAACCACCUAGCUUCAAAUUUUUUCCCCCCGAAACGAUGUCUAAUCUGGCCUGUCUUAUAAUAUUCCGUGUCAACCAAAAUAGGCCUAUGGUCAGACCUGUAGUGCUUCUCAAGGAUGACUGCAGCAUUGGGAUAAUCUAAAGUCCAUUGACUAUUACACACAGCACGAUCCAGUCGUUCACGAACAUCAGCGCGUCUCCAGGUGUAUUUAUCCCCAAUAUAGUCCAUAUCCUGAAGCUCGCAGUCAUCUAAACAGUCUCUAAAAGCCUUAAGCAUAUGCACUGGGCGGGGGUUUCCUCCCUCUUUUUCUGAAUUCAGCUUAAUCUCAUUGAAAUCACCUAGUACUAUCCAGGGCAUCUGAUGCUGCCGGUGAAGGUCUCUUAAACAAGACCAAGACAAGUGGCGGUCCUCCCAAGCUAGCUCACCAUAGAAACCAGUUAGCCUCCACUUCACAUUAUCACUAGACACAAAAACCAUAUCUAUACAGUUGGGUGACACAUAUUCAAACUCAACUUUAUUAUCAUCAUUCCAGAACAUUACAAGACCCCUAUUACAAGACCCCUGGAACGACCAUCACUACUUUCAUGAACUAAUAAAAAUUGAAAACCUAAUUUAUAGCGGAGACUCUCCGCUUUAUUCUUAUCGAGAUGUGCCUCAGCCAAAAACAAGAUAUUUGGCCUAACCUGCUCUUGGAGAUCCAAGAGCGACCGAACUGCCGCCUAAGAGUUCAUCCCACGGCAGUUCCAACCGACGAUUUUCAUUGUUCCCGGACAGGCUCCAGCGCAGAGCCCGCCGAUCCUAGAUCCACCAAGGUGCCCUCAGCAGAAAUAAUCCUGCUUUGUCCUUCCCCAGCGCCUUUCUCCUCCCCAACAGAUUCACGUCUUUUCUCUAUGUACUCCUCUUCCCCAUCCUCCACCUCUUCUGUGACAUGCUUGACCAAACCAUCUACACCUAUUACAGUUUCAACCCGUUCCAUAUACACACGCUUGCAGGAGAUACUAAUCUCAUCAUUAGUGUACCCCAUACUUUCAGCACUAUUGUUUUCAAAAGAGAAGACCAAAUCGCUUCCUGUAGGCACCAACCCUUCCCCAACCCUUCUCUUUCUCCCUGAAUCGCGAUCGCGUUCCUGCAUAGCAGAUGCUCCUUUGGGACUGGGCAUUUCUCCACUAAUGGUCUGAUUAGCAUGAGCAUUUAAGAAAAAAAUUGUUACUCCAAUGCUUCUCACUGCUUCAAACACUUCCCUUUCUUCUCUGUGCAUCCUCUUCCAACGGCUCGAUGAAGAUUCGUAGUGGCGUGACGGCUUGACAGAGAUGUACUUGUAGCUUGCUGGAGCUCCAGCAGCCCCAAGCAGAAGGCGAGCCUUGCCCACCUGGCCAGGCCUAGCACCAAAGAUGAGUGAGCCGACGUGCUGGGCUGCUGAAAGGCCAACAACAGUGGCACUUCCCGGGGCUGCUAUAGCCACGGGAGUGACAAUAUCAGCCGCCCUCACCAGAUUAGCUCUACCCACAUGAGUGGCCUCUCCUGCCGUGGGAAUGACAGCAUCAGCCAUCCCCACAAGCACGCCAGCAGCUUCAGUAUGCCCACGGCCCUCCUGGCCAGGCGAGUUGUCCGCAGCCUGUCCCCUCACCGCGGGAUUCCUAGCAGAAGGGACGAUUCACGAUUGCCCCCGCAACGUACUGUUCAACAGGAGCAGAGUUCAUGCCCGACGUCUCCCGGCCAGCCGCAGUGUUAGAGGUCUCUCCCACUGGAGAAACCAUAAGCUGCUUGACGGCCGUAGUCACCACAUUGAUGACCACAUCCGGGACCUUGGCUUGGAGCUUCUCAGUCUCUUCUUCUUUCUCCAACUCCCCAGGUGCCAACAUUCCUUCAAACUCCAAAGAACGGCGCACCGGACCCAAAGACUGCGCUGAACUAUUGAGGCUUCUCUCUUUCCAGAUUGGGAGGGCCUUGAUGUCGGAGGAGAAGACCGCUGUACGCUGCUCCUUAGGAAUGCUGCAAAACUUCUCUGUGGUAUGACCCAGCAGUCCACAACAAAAACAGAAGUUUGGGAGUUUUUCAUAUUUUACGAAGUACUUCAGAACAUUGGAAGUUCCAGUUGGGGUGGCAGUGAUGUAUGACUUGAUGGGACGAUGUACCGGCAUGUCAACACGCACGCGGAGGUGCUUAUCAACGAUCAGCUUGUUCUUAUGGGCGACGGCGAUGACGGUAACCAGCUUCUUUCCCAACUCCCUGCCCAUCUCCUCCGACUUGAGUUCGUACGGGAGCCCCUGAAUCUGCGCCCACACUCGGAUGGAGUCGAGACGGACAUCACUUGCAUUGCCUGUACCGUCGAAAGGCGCGAAGAUGACUCCGUCAUUGUGGUAGUGCCACGGCCCAGCCCUAAGCACAUGGAGCCUAUCACCCUCCCGCGCAAAGUGUAGGAUGAACCUGCCGUCUCCGCUUACUACCCGCUGGACCGUCACCUCGCCACGGAUCCGCCAUGGUCCCCUGAGAUCACGGACGAUGGCGUCGGGGUCAGCAGGGUACGACGAGAGGAGUCGUCCGAUGAGCAGCCUCCCCGCAGUGGAGCGCCGGGCUGCCGCGAAGUCGAUGAUGACUGGGGCAUCUUCCUCAUCCGGGGACGCGAAAGCAACCGCCUUACCGGCUCGCUGCAGAGGCGGAGUAGCCCCUGGAGCGAUGAAGCCGAUUGUGGCUUCCGGGGUGGUCAACACAGGACGAGCUCCACCUUCGCGCUUGCAGGGCGUCCUGGAGCCCGAGGCAUCCUUCCCCAGGGACGGGGGCACACUCCAGCCCCCCCUGAUUGACAAGGUCCAUGCCCAUAGCUGCACCUGCCUCCUGACUCUCCAGCACUCCUGCACCAUCGGACACCAUACUGGUUGCUGGCGUCAGACGCAUGAUCGGUGUAGUUUCCCCACUUGGCCCUUCUUCUCGAACAGUCAAACCAGGGGUGUCCUGGAUGGGCUCAUCAUGGCUCGACAUGGAAUUCUAGAUUUUUGUUAGAGGGGAAAACACCCAGACAGACGAAAGGGGCGAAGUCGAACAGAGACGAAGAACAGGGCUUCUAGACUGGCCACUCAAAUACUCCCCCCGCCCCCAAAUUCCGCCUCAUAAUCCACACGAAUAAUUCCCAAAUCGGAUGUAAUACACGCAUAAUCACCGGUGAGAAACCUCCCAUUGAACUUUCGAAUUGACUCACCCGUAAGAAUUCCUUUCCGUUUUACUCCAUUAAUCUCCAGAUUUGGUGGGAGAGCAUUGGGAGCCAACGGAAUCAGCAGCUCCUCCACCGAUGGACUCUCCUUAAUCUUUUUCUCAGCAUCCUUAAAGGACUUGGAUCCACCUCCCAAGAACUCCGCCGCCCGCUCCCUCAGUCGCCUCAGACAGGCCUCCAGGUCCUUCGCGCGACGGAGGAGCUCGACCCCGCGCCGCUUGAUGGUGCGCCACUCCUGGGGGGAGAGGCCACCGCCUUCCGACCACCGCCCAUGGUCAGCCCCACGGGCCACCUUGGCCGGCGUCAUAGCCAUCCUUCAGCGCCGGCAGCGCCGGCGUAUCGCCCUGGCAAUCGCCAGAUCCCCUUUUUACGGGAGCCCUCUCUCCCCGCUUCAGUGGGUACCGCCUGCCGUUUGAGAGUGCUCCUAAGGGGCGUGCUUCCUUUGUUGUUCGCUUGGUGCCACAGCGCCCAGGUUGUAAGCUAUAGCGUGCACUCUGUGAGCACAUGGAAGUUUUUCCGGACCACAUAGAAGUGUAAUUUGUUCGACUCCCGUAUGAUCAAAACUCAAAAGGGGUCUAUCAGCAAAUCGCUUCGACUCUAUAGACCACAUCGUACCAGGCCAGGAUUUUAAUUUUAAAAUCCAGACUCCUUCAUCAUCGUGUUUAUUUUUAGUUCAAAUUGAUUCUUCUGGAAACCUAGUGGAAUUCCGGAAACUUCUUGACCUCGACCGAAUCGUGCCAUAAAUUGGCCCGGCCCAUUGUUCUAAAUAGAGCGGUCCGGCCCAUAUUGGACAGUCGCGGCCUCUUAGGGUUUCCUCGCCGCACGCCUUUAUAAACACGAGAUCGGGCGAGGGUUGCAGAGCAGGCACAACUGGCGGCGUCGGCCGUCGACUGCAUCCAGUAGCCGCCACCUCUCCUCGGCUCCCAGUGCCAAUCGGGUCCGCGGUGUUGGUUCUUCGCUAUUGUCAGUCUACGACGUGUUUGGUUUGAUUGUUUCUGUAGAUUUUCUCGUUUUUUGCACUGUCGCCAUGGCGCAUGUAUCAAAGGAUGAGCAAAUACUGCAACAAUAUGAUCCAUGAUCUGAUUCUUAGUAUUUAAGUCUCUGAUGAUCUCUCUGCCAAUGCGAGUUUUCAAUCUUGUUUUUCGUUUCUUUAUAAGUGGGAUGUGAUGAAGAAAAGUUGGUCCGUGUUUCUGAUUUACAGUGACUGAUUACCAUCCUUAAUAGACUUCUGAUCCCUCUUUUUGUCUUUAGAUCUGCUAUCUUUUUCCCAUUUUAUUUCGAAGAUCCAUGUCAAUGCGAUGAUGAAUUAUGAAUUUUCGCAUGUCAGACUUCAGAGACGCCUCUGGCGUCCAUGAGAUGACAUAUCAUAUGACUGAGCAAUGAAAUACAAUCUUUAAAUUUUUUCGGAAUAAACAAACACAGUAUGCGCUGUUUUAUGCACAUCGAAUGAACUUCUCAGAAAAUUAAUGGAUGUGAGGACCCUUUCCCCGAAUGAUCGACUAUGAUUAUACUGUGCGCAACUGUAAUCCUUAUCAGAGGAUUCCAAGCCAGAAGUCUGAUCCAUCUUGCUUAAUUUAUUUAUUUAACUUUCAGAUUUGUAUUUGUUUUAUUUAUCAUAAGUUGAAUGGACAUGAGGAUCCUUUCCCCAAAUGAUCGACUAUGGUUAUACUAUGCGCAUAUGUAAUCCUUAUCAGAGGGUUCCAAGCCAGAAGUCUGAUCCAUUAAUUUCUUCUAUGUUUGUCUUCAUUGUGCAUUUUGUCAUUGUCUGCUCUCGACAGGGUGUUCGUUCUUGUGCUCUGAAAUUGCAAUGAGUGAACGCAAUGUGCUAGUUCAUUGAGCAUCUGCUAGAUUAUAAUGAUUUGUGAUUUUAUACUAUUAUUGUUAAUUCAUGGGUUUAAUGGUGCCAUGCCAUGUGCCUGAUUUACUUUUAUGUGUGCCUGUAUGUUGCACUUGCAGGAUAAGUGUGUAUCGGUUAAAUGCCUUUUGCUGUGCAUUUUUUGCCGAAAGUUUUUCCUGCUAUAUUAAUUUGAGGAAAGUGGGCAGUUGGGCUGAGCUUGAUAAUCUCUUUUGCCAACAAUCAUUUUCCUCUCAUUAUUCUUCAAAUGCAACUUGUUGUUAACAUCUUUCAGGACUGAUCUAAUAAUUGUUCAUGCUUGGCCAGUGAUGAAAAAACUUUUAAUCAUACCAUCUUUCGGGACUGAUUGGGCGCUAUGCGUCCAUGCUGUCAUUCUGCAAUUCUGAGGCCAAAUUGAACAUCUUUUUGAGUAGUAUUUUUCAAUCAGUAUUAUUUUUUUCCUUCUCAUGAAUGAAGAUAAGCACUGGGUUCUGAGUAGCUUACAUUGCUGCAUUCUUAUGGAGAUGCAUUUGCCUAAAAAGCAGUCUGAUAGCUCACCAAUCCAUAACCAUUUAAUGUUAGUACUAGUACAUAUUGAAACAUGUUAAUCUAGGCUGCAUUGUACCAAGGCUAGGGUUCUUUGUGCCCUUGUUUUGCUUGCCAGAUUCGGCUGUAGUCAAACCAACAUGGAAGGAAAUCUGGUCGGCCUGCCUGCUCCAGUGGGCAACCCGCUUACCAACCUUCCUAUAUGUCUUAUCUUCAUAUCGCUGGUCUUGGUAUUUUUGCAUAGUUAGAUUGGUGUAAUUCCGUGUGUUGCAAUUGAAAGAGCCUUCUUUUCAUGCCAUGUUGACCCAGUUUCAUGGCAGUCCUAUGGCCGCGAGCGACCCUGCACCGAUUACCCCUGAGCAAGACGGCCGGCCUUGAAUCUCGCCGUCUUGCCGCCGCUUGCCUUCUCGCCGGGCAGCCGUGGUUCCAGCAAAAAACGUCGAUCCUGCUCGAGGAUGUGUGCCUGAACAACGCUACUCGGCUGGUCGUUUGAUUACAAAUGUUUCCUAUAUUUAAAUGGCUAUUUGUAAAGUGGAAUAUCUCUGCUGAAGGAAGUAACUUCAAAAUGAUGCACUUUAGAUAUUUUGGACAUGAACACAUACUUUUAACCAGCGUUUUUUUAAUUAAACAAUUAUAUUAGAAAAGAGCACGAUGAAUAUGCCUGACACCACUCAGCCAACAAAGGAUCGACAUCAGAAGUUCGUCAAAUAAACAGAUGACGAACUAGCAAUGCCUUGGCCAGUUCAGGUGUGAGGGCUCCUGGGAGAAGUUCACUACCAUGCACGUUCUUUUCAUUCUUUCAUUCGAGCAUAUGUGGUUGGACUUCACAAAUUUGACCCCUCGGACGAACACAGACAAUAGGGCCAACUAUUGAUCUUUCUUCCCCUCAUCCCUUGAUAAAUAGUUUGGAUUGGAUAAACAAUCCUACUUUCAUUGACUGGGUUAUCUGAGAUCGAUCCUCAUUAUUUUAAAACGAGGAUAGGUCUUUCGCAACAUGAGGUGCAAAUAGGGAUUAUAAAUGUGGUCGUGUAUGUAUGUUUUCAGAUGUUUCUGGUUGUAAUAUCAGUGAAGACAAUGCUCGGGUGUAUCAACUUUUUAUUUUGUUCUUUGACAGGCAAAGUUUAGCAACCCAGAAGGAACAUAGGGACAAUAAACAUGGAUUGGUUUUA